UACGGAGGGGGCUAGCGUUGUUCGGAAUUACUGGGCGUAAAGCGCACGUAGGCGGCUUUGUAAGUUAGAGGUGAAAGCCCAGGGCUCAACCCUGGAAUUGCCUUUAAGACUGCAUCGCUUGAACAUCGGAGAGGUAAGUGGAAUUCCGAGUGUAGAGGUGAAAGUUCGUAGAUAUUCGGAAGAACACCAGUGGCGAAGGCGACUACCUGGCCUGUUCUUGACGCUGAGGCGCGAAAGCUAGGGGAGCAAACGGG
rnacentral:rRNA from 1 species